CCAGACAGCCAGGAUGUUGGCUUAGAAGCAGCCAUCAUUUAAAGAAAGCGUAAUAGCUCACUGGUCGAGUCGGCCUGCGCGGAAGAUGUAACGGGGCUAAACCAUGCACCGAAGCUGCGGCAGCGACGCUUAUGCGUUGUUGGGUAGGGGAGCGUUCUGUAAGCCUGCGAAGGUGUACUGUGAGGUAUGCUGGAGGUAUCAGAAGUGCGAAUGCUGACAUAAGUAACGAUAAAGCGGGUGAAAAGCCCGCUCGCCGGAAGACCAAGGGUUCCUGUCCAACGUUAAUCGGGGCAGGGUGAGUCGACCCCUAAGGCGAGGCCGAAAGGCGUAGUCGAUGGGAAACAGGUUAAUAUUCCUGUACUUGGUGUUACUGCGAAGGGGGGACGGAGAAGGCUAUGUUGGCCGGGCGACGGUUGUCCCGGUUUAAGCGUGUAGGCUGGUUUUCCAGGCAAAUCCGGAAAAUCAAGGCUGAGGCGUGAUGACGAGGCACUACGGUGCUGAAGCAACAAAUGCCCUGCUUCCAGGAAAAGCCUCUAAGCAUCAGGUAACAUCAAAUCGUACCCCAAACCGACACAGGUGGUCAGGUAGAGAAUACCAAGGCGCUUGAGAGAACUCGGGUGAAGGAACUAGGCAAAAUGGUGCCGUAACUUCGGGAGAAGGCACGCUGAUACGUAGGUGAAGCGACUUGCUCGUGGAGCUGAAAUCAGUCGAAGAUACCAGCUGGCUGCAACUGUUUAUUAAAAACACAGCACUGUGCAAACACGAAAGUGGACGUAUACGGUGUGACGCCUGCCCGGUGCCGGAAGGUUAAUUGAUGGG
rnacentral:rRNA from 1 species